UUGGUUUGGUGCACAAGGUACUCUGAUUCCUUCGUUCGUAACUAGGUUAGUUUUCACUUCACUUUUUUCUUCAUGAGUUUGUUCCUCAUCCAUUAUUCCCUUUCAUUUGUCUGUAAUCGUUCCUUCACUAGACAUGGAUCUUUUUGAAGCAUUUCCCAUCACUCUCAUCCCUUGUAUUAACAAUUUCAUGUCUUCGCUCAACUUUGACAGAUUAUCCUCAAUUUUUUGUUCCGCCAUUAUCCUUCGAACUUCUGCCUCCACAAACUAUUUUUUCAUCUUCCUUUCAAAUUCUAAUUGUCAUUCUUCUGCUUCCAAAAUUUUGCUUCUACUCUACUUUUUAUUUCAAUCAUCCCUAUGGUUACUCCCUCCAAACUUUCUUUCAAUUCGAUUACCCGAGCUUCCAUCUUAUCGACCAUUCCAAGAAAGAUGCCUAUGAUACCAAAAUUGUUAAGGCCUUAGCCACAAUUUUAUUUAUCAAUUGUGGGGAAUGAUUUGAGAGUUACCCAAUCUCUCAACACUUCUCUAAUGAGAGUCUAUACCAAAAUCAUUUAACAAAAAGAUACUCACCCCCCAACAUUCAAAAUACCUAAAUAAGCAAACACUAAGAAAAUUAACAUAAUACUUAGCCCCACUCUAACCGUCAUAUGCUCCUAAGGCCCACACCGAGAAAAUUACUAACUCUCAAUCAUUCUUUCUUCUUCCCACUUUUAUCCCUACGUGAAUACAUCUUUACUAUGGGGGGUCUAUCAUUCUCCUAUUCUUAAAAUCACUCCAAAAAGAUAUAUUUUUUCAUGAAAAAUCAAUUUAAGUGGCAUGUAAAUCAAAUCUAAAAGUAAAAAAUCAAACAUUAAAACGAUUAAAGACAUGUUAUUGUUAAUAGUUUUAAAAUCUAUAUCAAACAUGUUAAGAUUAUAGAUGUUUAUCUUUGGGGAGACGCACAAAGCACAAAAUAGGUUGAUUCCAUUACUUAUGGACAAGAUUAUUUUUUGAUCUAACCCACAUUCUAGAAACCUGUUAUAACGUUUUGUUUGCAUGGUCGCUGAAUGAAAUUACAUAAUUGAUCCCAAAUUGUACACAUAUCGAGGCCUACCUCUCAUUACUCACUACGUUUUUUCCCCUCUUUUUUCACGAUUCAUUAACAUAAUUAUCUUUCCUCUUUCCCCUCUAUGCAAUUAAAAGGACAACACAAAGAGAGAAAAAGUGUGUGGGAGAGUUUCGUAUUCUUCUACUGAAUUACUUUCUAGUAAAAUAGAAUGUAAAAAAUGUCACACCAAGCUGGUUGUUUCCUUUGCAAAAAAAAAAAAAAGACAUUGUUUUAGUUGGACUGCACCAUUCCAAUCCAAGCUAACAAAAUUGAUUCGGCAAUCUUGUCGUUGUUGUGAAAUAACCAAUGUGACUUCAACUACAAACUGAGAAACCAAAUGAGUUAAAAUCUUGACAGACAAAUACCUGUUAGCUAAAGAUCAAGUGCAAUAUUUGCUCCUGUCAGAUACAUAAUCAUCAGACAAAUACAGAAAAACUAAAGUUUAAACCAACAGUCAAUAGACUUCUUGGGCAUAAUUUACACAAUUGAAGAAUUCUUCUAACCCACUUGUCUUUGCCUUUGCACAUUCUUCAUUGAAUGUGUUAGUGAUAUAUAAUUAAAUUUGUUUUCAACUACUAGCAUAAAAUUUUGGAUUAAUUGGUUGUUUAAUAGAAUGUUAUAUACUAACUAGUCCUUAAUCCACCGUUACCUUUAUUCCUCUAUGUUAAUAUAACAUCCUUUAUUACAAACACUUCCGCUUUACAUGGGUUGUAGCAAAUCAAGCAUCAACAAAACCAUGUUUCAAAGAAAAAAUCUACUUAAAUUUUCAAUCUACUUAGUUUACAUUUUUAUCACCAGGAGGAAAUGUGAAGGGUGUACAACAAUUAAACAAUUUCUUGAACAAGAGAAUUUGGUUUGGCUUGGCGCUUGAACAAAGGAACAAAGUUAACGAUGACAAUGAUGCAAAGGACAUGAUAUCGACACUCGUUGUGGCAGAUAUAUGUUAUAAGAUGGAUCGAUUCAUUGAAGUAUCGAAACAAAUGCUAAAACAAGCAAUGAAUAUAUUAGGUUUUACAAAAAUGGCCCUAAACUCCAUUUAUUUGUGCACUUGUAAUAAAAACAACAAGCUCAGUAGUUCUAGGUAAAAAUGCAUUGGCCUACUUAAGUCAAUGCAAGGUCUAAUUUAAUCAUGGUGCUUCAAGGUUAUCGUAUUCGUAUUAAUCCCUCUUCUCAUAAAUAUGAGGC
rnacentral:lncRNA from 1 species